AGAUUUGAAGGAAAAAAAAAAAAAAAACAAAAGAAAAAAAUUCAGCCCUCGUAUUCCUCCAUCUCCUUUCUUGUCUGUGUAAUGCCAAGCUAGCUAACCGGCUCCCAGUCCUCCGACAUAAACCGCUCCAACUCACUGAGGCUUCCUUUUCCUUACGGUGACUCGAAACUUAGAGUUGAUAUCCAACCAGAUCACUUUAACCUGAGUUGCUGAGCCCAAUGACCCGGACACGUAAUGUCAUUGUUGCCACUGGAUUACUGGCUUUUGCUGCUGCAGGCUUGGCAUUUCCCUUCUACAUGGCAUCAUCCAGGGGCAAGCCAGUGAUUGACCCAUCAAAGCCAUUGCCACCACAGGCGACUUUCCGAGGGCCUUACAUAAACACAGGUUCACGUGACAUUGGACCUGAUCCUGGGUCUUACCCAAAGAAGUAAUGUGCUUUGCGAGAAAAGUGUUGGGGAGGGCAAGUAAAUUGCAUGCACAAUCAUGCCCAUUUCCUGCAAAUUGAGACAUUUGGUCGCAUUAUCUUCUUUUCUGCCAAUGGACAUCUUUGUGGAUUCUGUACCUAGAAAUCUACUGAUCAUCACAAAUGGAUAAGCAACAUGUUGAGAAUUACAACGAGAAUGAGAAUUUCUGGAAAAUGGAAUUGCUUAAAAACAUGAUUUCUUUCUUUCUUUCUUUCUUUCUUUAUAUUUUUAUAAUGUAAGAACUUAAUAUCAUAGAUUAUUUGUGAUCCAAACGAUCAGAUAUUUGCAUAUACAUCUAUUUCGUACAUUGAAAAAUUGUUGAGUGUGGCUAUAUGAUUGAUAAAUGACACUAUAGUGUAUGAGCAAUAUAUACAUGCAACCAAUAGUAAUUUGCAAUUUGAGGAUUGCAACUUUUGGUUUCUAAA